rnacentral:rRNA from 1 species
CCUACGGGAGGCAGCAGUGGGGAAUAUUGGACAAUGGGGGGAACCCUGAUCCAGCCAUGCCGCGUGUGUGAAGAAGGCCCUCGGGUUGUAAAGCACUUUCAGUGAGGAAGAACGCCUGGUGGUUAAUACCCAUCAGGAAAGACAUCACUCACAGAAGAAGCACCGGCUAACUCCGUGCCAGCAGCCGCGGUAAUACGGAGGGUGCGAGCGUUAAUCGGAAUUACUGGGCGCAAAGCGCGCGUAGGUGGCUUGAUAAGCCGGUUGUGAAAGCCCCGGGCUCAACCUGGGAACGGCAUCCGGAACUGUCAAGCUAGAGUGCAGGAGAGGAAGGUAGAAUUCCCGGUGUAGCGGUGAAAUGCGUAGAGAUCGGGAGGAAUACCAGUGGCGAAGGCGGCCUUCUGGACUGACACUGACACUGAGGAGCGAAAGCGUGGGUAGCAAACAGGAUUAGAUACCCUGGUAGUC